UGGGGAAUAUUGCACAAUGGGGGAAACCCUGAUGCAGCGACGCCGCGUGAGCGAAGAAGGUUUUCGAAUCGUAAAGCUCUGUCCUAUGAGAAGAUAAUGACGGUAUCAUAGGAGGAAGCCCCGGCUAAAUACGUGCCAGCAGCCGCGGUAAUACGUAUGGGGCGAGCGUUGUCCGGAAUUAUUGGGCGUAAAGGGUACGUAGGCGGUCUAUUAAAUCAGGUGUGAAAGCGUGAGGCUUAACCUCAUUAAGCACUUGUAACUGAUAGACUUGAGUGAAGGAGAGGAAAGUGGAGUUCCUAGUGUAGCGGUGAAAUGCGUAGAUAUAAGGAGGAAUACCGGUGGCGAAGGCGACUUUCUGGACUUUUACUGACGCUCAGGUACGAAAGCGUGGGUAGCAAACAGG
rnacentral:rRNA from 1 species